rnacentral:lncRNA from 1 species
UUUUAUACAGACUAAUCCCCAAAUCAAAUUGGAAAUUUUAUACCAGGAUAAUCUCAAAAUCAAACAGAGCUCUUACACAUGACUAAACUCAAGAACCAAGCGAAAUUUUUAACUGGAUGAUCUCAUGAAGCAAAUCAAAGUUUUUAUACUAGGCUGAUCUCUUGAACCAAACAAAUUUUUUGACUAGAUGAACUCACAAAUUAAACAAAAGUUUUUCAUUGGUUCGACUUAGCAACCCAACAACAACUUCUAUUAAAUAGAUAUUACACAAGAGACAAAGUUUUCUUCAUUAAAUUACAAAAUUAACUCAUAACAACAACAAAAUAGUCACAAAUAAUUUUCUCUCUCAAAUCACUAACACAACCUCGUGAAGAAAUAAAAGAGAUGCUGAAGAGAGUAGAAAGUGAGAAUGUAUAUUAGAUAUAUGUUUUAUGGUAUUUUUUUUGAAAUAAGGAGAACCCCUCUAUUUAUAGGAUAAAAUAUGUCUCAAAAAGAAAAAUGAUCCAUGGAAUUUUUAAUGCGCUUAAUUUAUUAAGUACUAGGGCUAAUCGAUUAAGAGUUUCAAAAUGACGGAAAAACCUAAUCCCAAAAUGGAAACCCUACAACUGUUAUGUGAUCUAAUUGAUUAAGAGUAUUUCUAAUCGAUUCAGGAGAUAUUUGUCUUGGUCUACUCGAUUGGAUUAAGUCUAGUCGUUUAUGCCGUGCACAAAUGUUUCCUAAAUAUUUUCCUGAUAGUCCUGCCAUAGAUUUUAAGGUGUUUUAACAAAUUCGGUGAGGUUUAAAAACAUUUUCAAGUGAGUAUUUGAGUUUUCUUAGCAAUUUGAGAAUUACCUGUACAACUUUACAAUACAUCGAUCACUCAACACAGACUAGACGAGGAGUUCGUGUAAAAUGAAGUACCCGCAUACCAAAUAUAAAUUUCAAGUUUAAAUGAGACAAUAAUUGUCAAAUAAACUAGAAAUUAAAAAAAAAGAAUUUAACUAUUUUUUUUAGUUAUGAUAAUGUCUGUAUCACUUUGAUAAAAGUGAAUAUGAAUGACAAUUACCAAUUAAAACUAAAACUUCGGUGAACUGAUAUAAGAGUGGCGAGUAUACACUAACUAUUCAAUAAUAGAUUGAGCAAUAUUAAUAAAGUAGUCGAUGUGAGACUAAAAAGUCUUUCUCCCAAUCAAUUUUAAAUAAUUUUUUAAAAUAAUAACGUACCAAUUAUUAUUUUUAAACGUACCACGAAUCCAAAUACCGACUAUGUAUACCCCUCACAUACCUAAUUCUUAGAGAGUAGUGAACCGUGUAUCCAAAUUCGUACCAUGUACCGAAAUGGAUUAUGAACCAUAUGACUAUGGCCAUGUCCUAAACCAACAAACUCCUACUUUAGUAAGUGCAGUUUGCUUGUUUAUAAUUAAUUUAAAGUACAACCAUUAAAAAUGAAACUUUUUUUUACCGUGUUUGAGACAUUUUUGUAACCUCAAAUUCAACUGUUUGAUAUUUCUAAUUCAUAUAUCAAUUUACACCCUUUCAAUAUGUAAUCCGCAUCUAAGAAUAUCUCUACUUUUGUUAAAUAAUCUCCAUUUAAAAUAACAAUCCAAAACAAUUUUAAUAUCUUUCUCGUAAUGAAAUUGUAGAAAACCUAUACGAUAUGCUGGGACGGAGCUACUCUUUAGUAGAGUAAGUGGGCAUAUGCCCCCACUUAAUAUUUUAAAUUGUAGUAUUAUGUUCCAUGGCAAAUUAGCCAUUUUCAACAUGCAAACUAAACCACCUAUGCUAGACUAUUAUGACUUAAUAUAUUAUUAUUAAUAUCAAUUUUCUUUUAUAUAAACAAUAUCCUAAAAUCAUUAUAACUUAACAUAUUAUUAUUAUUAUUAUUAUUAUUAUUAUUAUUAGUAUUCGCUUUUUUUUAUAAUUUAGAUAAACAAUAUCGAGAAAUCAUUAACCAAAUAAUUUUUUUAAUUUGAUUUUUUUAAAAGUCUCACAAAAAUUACUUAAAUUUUAAUUAAUUAUUAUUUCGUAUUAGAAUCCGGAUUAAUGAUGCAUAUAUUUGUCUUUGAAGUGAUGACGCACAUUUUUUUUGUAUGGUUGAAAGGUGAUUGGUUUAUUUAAAAAAAUACUCAUUCCGAUUCUACUUAUAAGAGACACUUUACAAUUUUUAAAUUUAUUAAAUAAUUAAUAUAUAUGUAAUAUAAAUUUAAAAAAUAUUAUUGAAUCACUCUGUCAUUAUUUAUCACUUUUUAUAUGACUCUCAAAUACAUAUUAGAUAUAUUUAAAAAAAUUAAGGACAAAUUUUUUAAGAUGAAGAAAGCAACAUUUUUCAAGCUACAAAUUUAUAUAAAUUUUGUCCCCACAAAUUAAAAUUUCUGACUCCAUAUGAACAAUUUUCAUUAUCUAAAUCCCAUAGAACUACAUACUUAAAACUAAAUCACACAUGAUAAUGAAUAAAAAUAUGACCAUGAUACACAAUAUAAAUAUGAAAUACUAAACUUGGAAUUUCAGUGUAAAAUCGGUACAAACUUGCUGCUGAGAGACAUUCAACAACAACAGAAACUUCAAACUUUGCAGGAAGAUAAAAGUGCAUGAAACCCUAAAUUGCUUUAAAUGGAAAUUGCAUAUAAAUUUUAUACAGACAAAUAUAUAGACUUACGGCCAUAAACUUUGCCAUAGAAAAUAGAAAUUGCAUAUAACUUGAUAAUGUGUUCAUAUGCUAUAACUUAAUGACUAGAGAACAGGUUAUAGAAAAUUGUAGAAAGACACGCAAAUCUCUCAACCACAUGCACAUUUUCCACUUCCAGCAGAUUUUCCAACAAAAAAACACCUCGGUUUUAAAGGAAAUGGGCACAAAUCAAAUGGACAAUCAGAAUGAUGAGUACAAUCAACAAAUGCUGCAAUGAAAUAAAAUAAAAUAGAAUAUUGUUAUUAAAAUGAAAUAAAAUAUUACGUAAGAAGUAAAUAAAAAACUUUAAAAAUGAUAAAAUAUGUCUUACUGUCAAUGUCCAUACUCAUAGCAACAAGAAUUAGAGAAAGAAAGACGAUAAAAAAAUAAACAAAUUUCACAAUUUCAACCAUAUUUUUUCUGCUUUGCAUGUAAAAAUUAUUAUGAUUUUAUUACAUGUACAAUUUAUAACCUUCACCCUCUCUUAACAUGCAUAAAAUGAUUUUUAAAAAUUAUGGAUUGAAAACUACCUUCCUAAAAUUAGAGACGUCUUUUAAGUACAUCAAAAUAUUG